rnacentral:lncRNA from 1 species
GUGUCAUUGGAUAAUAUACAAAUAACUUUACAUUCUCCCGAAUAAAAUACUUACAACUACGGUUCUGGCUAUAAUAUCCAACACAACCGUCAACAAAACUAUACAAUUACAAAAGAACUAACAUUCCUAUGCUAAACAUAUGGCAUAGGUCUUUCAAAAUCAACGCUAGGGUCACCGCCAUCAAUCGCGUUCCACUUCAUUCUCAUUACCUGAAAUGUUACGUAUAAUUACGUUUUAAGCACUAGACUGGUGUAAGUCAAGUUAUAUAAUAUUAAUAAGUGCCUAUAAAAUUAUAAAAUAUCAAUUCAUUUAAACAUGAAAUCAUUUUUCAAAACCUCAGCUCAUCUAGGUCGAUCCUUUAAUCAAAAUCCUUGGCUCAUCGUGUCAAGCACCCUUGAUCAGAUAACUUUACUUUUGUCAAUUAUUUUUUCAUAUCAAUUAUUGACUCAUCUAGGCCCAUUUUCAUUUACCUUGAUUUCAUAUCAAGAAUUCAAAAUUUGUAUUAGAUUGACCCUUGCGACACAUGCACUUGUUCAAUGAUCACCAGAAAUUAGAGAGAGACCCCAAUAUAAUAUGCGGCAUGAUAUCACCCGAGAUUAUUUGGCCAUGAUCCUCUUUAUUAUAUCACCUCUCGCUAUAUUCUUUUUUCCUAGCGAACGGGGCAUCGUUCGAACCAUAUGUCGUUUAAAAUAUACUUUUCUAAAAUAAUCAUUUUUCAUAUUCCAUGCCAUAUUUAAAACAUAGCAUGCAUUUAAUUAUAAAAUGUCAUCAUGUUUAAUCAAUAAAAACAUACAUGCUUUCACCACAAAACUUGUACUUUUAAGUAAGUAAAAUAUAACAAGACCUAACUUUUAUACUAUUUCAGUUCUUCCUUUCUAUGCUCCAAUAGUGAAUAAAAGUAACGGUUUUCGAGUUCGGUCAUAUAAUUAGAGAUUCCGAAUUUAUAUCUCGCAUUCAAUAAACACUCUAUUUGCCUAAAUAUAUCAUUCAUUUACUUACGCGAGCAUAAGGGUAUAAGAAUUGUAUAGGAUAGUCGAAAAUAAGUUUUUCUGAAAAAUUAUUUUUGUCAAAAAAAUUGGUAAAUAUAGAAAAAGGAAUUAUUAAACUAUAUUUUCUUUCAAAAGUUCAUUUUUUAAGUAAUUGUUCCUGUACAUUGAAUGUCAAAAAACUGAUUUUAUGAGAUUUUUAUACCAAGGUAUAACCCUCAUAAUAAGAAAAAUCAUUUUAAAAAUUUUCGAAAACUAUUUUUGUACUAAACUGAAAACUUAUUUUUUAUUUAUGAGAUUUAUAUUUUUUAGUAUUUUUUAUUGAUCCAAAUGGAGGGUAGUUUUUUUUAUUUAGAUUGUAAUUUAAAGUAAAAGAAAAUAGAAAAUGUAAGGAGUUAUGAUUUUAUUUAAUGUUUCAUUUGAAAAUAAGUAUUUGGUUAAGUACUUGUGCCAACAGUAAAGGUUAAGUUGGUCAAAAGCUGAUGUUCUGUCAAGUUCAACUAGUUGAGAUAAAAAAAAUUCAACUGGUUGGGACAAGAAUAGAGACCUUAAGACUUAAGUUCAAACUGGUUUGGAGAAAAUUGUUCAACCGAUGGGACAAAGAACAAAGACUUAAGAUUUAAUAUUCAACUGUUUGAGAGAAAAAUGUUCAAACGGUUGGGGCAAGAAUAGAGAAUUAAAAUUUAAAUAUUCACUGGUUCAACUGAAAAACAGCGAGUUGGUUCUUUUAUUUUUCUGGAUUAAAUUCCAAGACUGUUUUGGGCCAAUAAACAUUUAAACUAGAAAAAAACACGUGUUUAAAAUAAAAAGUUGUAAAUGUAUUUGAAAUAUCUUUCAUACGUAAUUUGAAUUAAGUACAAAAUGUAUUGUAUGAGGGAGUUAAAGCUUAAAUACUAACUAUUUUGAUUAUAAAAAUUGUGACUUAACUUUUAUUGGGAUUUUAAUCCUACCACAUCGUAAGUGUCAUAUCUCGAAGUAUUAUCGAACUUUAAUCAUGAUAGGUUUUUAUCCCAAAAUUCAUUCAUCACCGUAUUUAGUGAAAGAAGAAACUUAAAAACGAUAGGAAAAGACGAGAUUUUACCUGAGUUCGAGAAAAUCAAGAAAUCUUUUUCACCUCUCUUUUUCUCUCUCUUCCUUCCUUCUUCCUAUUCAAUCUUCUCUCAGCUCUCUCUUUUUCUCUCUUUCUUUCUCUUUCUCUUCCUUUCUUUCUGCUCCUCUCUCAUGUGUAAACUACCAACUUAUUGCUGGGAGGACAAAGGGUAUGGGUGAGGUUAGUUGGUGAGUGGUUGGCUAAGGUUAUGGAUGGAGGGCAUGGGCUAAUGUAGUGAGUCAUCCAGUCAUGUGGCCCUUCAUGGUGCCACAUGGUCCCGUUUUAUUUGUUCGACACGUAGUUCAAUUUUGUUCAGUUUAUCAAAAAUUUACUCGGGUAUAAUUUUCGUUAUAGUAAAAAUUCUGAAAAUUUUUACAUUGCUACCAGUGAAAUUAUAUUUUUAUCCUUAUAUAAUAAGUAAAAUAAUUUUAUGAGUUGGGGUAUUACUAUCUCCCCACCGUAGGAAGUUUGGUCCUCCAACUUAAAUUGCGUCGUGUCUCUAUAAUUGACUAUUCAUGUCCAAGGCCGACUCGAUCUACAUUAACAAUUCUAACACUCUACGAGAUAAACAAAACAUAAGUAGUUAAAAAGUUAUACUUUACUCAAAAGAUACGGGAUUCUGGCUGCAUUUUUCUUUUUCUCCUAGGUGGAUUCUCCGGUUGACUGUUCUUCACCAAAUUUGGACCAAUGGAAUAGUUUCUUCUUUUGAAUUGUUUUACUCUGCGUGUUCAUGAUUCGCACUGACCGUUCUUAUUGUAAAUUCUUUCUAACUCCAUCAGUGAUGUUCCAACACGGGAAUGAUUUGCAAGUACUCCAAAGCAUGGAUAUGUGAAAAACAUCAUGAAUAUUGCGGUUUUCGCGGGUCAAGGCAAGCCGAUAUGCCAUAGUCCUAUAUUUCAAGAAUUCGAAAUGGUCCAACAAGCAUGGAUUUAGUUUUUCUCUCUUCCCGAAUCUUAUAACUCCCUUCAUUUGUGAGAUUUUCAAGAUUGCCCAAUCAACUUCUUGAAAAUCCAACUCUCUUCUAUUUGCAUCCGCGUAGCUCUUUUGUCGAUCUUGUGCAAUUUUCAACUUCUCUUGGAUCACCUUGAUCUUCUAUGUCAUCUACAACACGAUAUCCGGUCGGGUAAUCUCUGUCUCUUUGACCUCCGUCAAACAAGACAGUGACCUGCAUAUACGUGGAUCACCUUGAACUUUAUUGGAUUUUAAAUCUUCACAACGUAUAUGUCAUAUUUCAACGUAUUCUCGAACUUUAAUCAUGAUAGGUUUUUUACUUUUAUCCCAAACUCUUCAUCACUGUAUUUAGUGAAAGAAACUUACUAAACGAUAGAAAAAAGACGAGAUUUUACCUGAGUUCGGAAAAAAUCAAGAAAUCUUUU